rnacentral:rRNA from 1 species
GUGCCUAACACAUGCAAGUCGAACGAGAAAGGGGAGCAAUCCCUGAGUAAAGUGGCGACCGGGUGAGUAACACGUGACUAACCUACCUUUUAGUGGGGGAUAACCCCGGGAAACCGGGGCUAAUACCGCAUAACAUCGCAAGAUCAAAGCAGCAAUGCGCUGGAAGAGGGGGUCGCGGCUGAUUAGCUAGUUGGCGGGGUAACGGCCCACCAAGGCGAAGAUCGGUAUCCGGCCUGAGAGGGCGCACGGACACACUGGAACUGAAACACGGUCCAG